rnacentral:rRNA from 1 species
UACGAAGGGGGCGAGCGUUGUUCGGAAUUACUGGGCGUAAAGGGCGCGCAGGCGGCUCUGAAAGUCAGAUGUGAAAGCCCCGGGCUUAACCUGGGAACUGCAUUUGAUACUACUGAGCUUGAGUACGGGAGAGGAUAGUGGAAUUCCCAGUGUAGAGGUGAAAUUCGUAGAUAUUGGGAAGAACACCGGUGGCGAAGGCGGCUAUCUGGACCGUAACUGACGCUGAGGCGCGAAAGCGUGGGGAGCAAACAGG